CAACUUUUGACAAUGGAUCUCUUGGUUCUCGCAACGAUGAAGAACGCAGCAAAAUGCGAUAAGUAGUGUGAAUUGCAGAAUACGUGAAUCACCGAAUCUUCGAACGCAUAUUG
rnacentral:rRNA from 1 species